rnacentral:lncRNA from 1 species
AUGGGCCCAGCCCGUGCGUGUGCCAGCAAAGGGUGGAGAAUGGAGGAUUCACGGCUAAAUAUGCGGCGAAAUGGCUCUGACGCCCAAAGCUCCCUCCUAGCCCACUUGCAGGAGCACCAGGCUGCCUUUUCCCUCCGAUUUAUUUUAAAGAGGUGCUCUGGGCAGCCUUUGAACGCAGCCAACCCGUGCGGCACAUCCCUGGGAACGCAUCGCAUCGCCGCGUCCCCCCUCCCUCCCUGCCCUUUGCACCCACACCCGCACCCCUCCCGCAGCAGCGCAGCCCCCCAGGAGCCCCCUGCAGCCCCCCAAGCCCCCCAGGAACCCCCCAAGCCCCUCCUGGAGCCCCCCAGCCCCCCGUCCAGCCCCUCCCCAACCCCCGCAGCCCCAUCCCUGCGCGCAACAGAGCGCAGAGCGGGGUCCCCCCAGGGGUCCCCCCAGGGCUCCCAGCUGCCGGUAACGGGAGGAGGGGGCUCGGUGCCACCCGGAGCCGCCUCACCUGCGGCGGGGCGGGGAGGGGCAGCGGCGGCGGCCGGGGGAGGGCUCGGGAGCUCGGCGCCGCCUCCCCGCGCUCCGCUGCCGCCCGCCCGCCGCCGUCUCCCCCGCGCCGCCGCCGCCGCCGCCGCCUCCAAGAUGCCCGGGCAGCGGCGGGGAGGCUGCCGCAGCCCGCUGGUAAGGCACAGCGGCACCGGGAGGGGGGCACCGGGGACGUGGGGGGGCUUGGCACACCGGGAGAGGGGUGCCGGGCUUUUGGGGAGGGGGCCCCGAGGUUCUGGGGGGGCCCCCGGUGGCGGCUUCUCCUCCGUUCCGCGCCCCCCCCCGCCGGAUCCCUCCGGCGCCGGGGCGGCUCCGUGCGCCCAUCCCGGCGCUUUUCGGCUUGGUGUGUGUGGGGGGGGGUCGCUCUGGGUCCUACCACCCCCUCUCCCCCCCCACCCGGGCUUUUUUCCUUUCCUUUUCUCCGAGCCCGGGGGGGUUCCCGUGAAGUCCCCGGCAGCAGCCCGCUGCCUCUCGCCCCGCCGGGGCUCUGGGGAGGGGGGGGGGGGGGAGAAAGUUGCAGUGGAAGUUACACGAGCUCGAGAGGCGGGGGGGUGCGUGGGCUCCGUCCCGAGUGGGGUCCCCCCCGGGGGUCGCCGAGGCUUCGGGGGUUUCCGCAGGGAGGGGAGCGUUGGGCUUUUUUAUCCCCUUCUCCGCGGUGAAUAG